UACGAAGGGUGCAAGCGUUACUCGGAAUUACUGGGCGUAAAGCGCGCGUAGGUGGUUCAGUAAGUUGGAUGUGAAAUCCCCGGGCUCAACCUGGGAACUGCAUCCAAAACUGCUGAGCUAGAGUACGGUAGAGGGUGGUGGAAUUUCCUGUGUAGCGGUGAAAUGCGUAGAUAUAGGAAGGAACAUCAGUGGCGAAGGCGACCACCUGGACUGAUACUGACACUGAGGUGCGAAAGCGUGGGGAGCAAACAGG
rnacentral:rRNA from 1 species